rnacentral:rRNA from 1 species
AUUGAACGCUGGCGGCAGGCCUAACACAUGCAAGUCGAACGGUAACAGGAAGCAGCUUGCUGCUUUGCUGACGAGUGGCGGACGGGUGAGUAAUGUCUGGGAAACUGCCUGAUGGAGGGGGAUAACUACUGGAAACGGUAGCUAAUACCGCAUAACGUCGCAAGACCAAAGAGGGGGACCUUCGGGCCUCUUGCCAUCGGAUGUGCCCAGAUGGGAUUAGCUAGUAGGUGGGGUAAAGGCUCACCUAGGCGACGAUCCCUAGCUGGUCUGAGAGGAUGACCAGCCACACUGGAACUGAGACACGGUCCAGACUCCUACGGGAGGCAGCAGUGGGGAAUAUUGCACAAUGGGCGCAAGCCUGAUGCAGCCAUGCCGCGUGUAUGAAGAAGGCCUUCGGGUUGUAAAGUACUUUCAGCGGGGAGGAAGGGAGUAAAGUUAAUACCUUUGCUCAUUGACGUUACCCGCAGAAGAAGCACCG